rfam:Exiguobacterium sibiricum 255-15, complete genome.
GUGUCAUUAGCUCAGUUGGUAGAGCAUCUGACUUUUAAUCAGAGGGUCGCAGGUUCGAAUCCUGCAUGACACA